rnacentral:rRNA from 1 species
AGUGAACGCUGGCGGUAGGCCUAACACAUGCAAGUCGAACGGCAGCACAGUAAGAGCUUGCUCUUACGGGUGGCGAGUGGCGGACGGGUGAGGAAUACAUCGGAAUCUACUUUUUCGUGGGGGAUAACGUAGGGAAACUUACGCUAAUACCGCAUACGACCUACGGGUGAAAGCAGGGGAUCUUCGGACCUUGCGCGAUUGAAUGAGCCGAUGUCGGAUUAGCUAGUUGGCGGGGUAAAGGCCCACCAAGGCGACGAUCCGUAGCUGGUCUGAGAGGGUGAUCAGCCACACUGGAACUGAGACACGGUCCAGACUCCUACGGGAGGCAGCAGUGGGGAAUAUUGGACAGUGGGCGCAAGCCUGAUCCAGCCAUACCGCGUGGGUGAAGAAGGCCUUCGGGUUGUAAAGCCCUUUUGUUGGGAAAGAAAAGCAGCAGGUUAAUACCCCGCUGUUCUGACGGUACCCAAAGAAUAAGCACCGGCUAACUUCGUG